UAUUCCUCUUUAAUGGCGUAUAAGUUACCUGUGGAGGAUGUCCACCCUCUAUCUCGGGCCUUUUUCAAGUUAGAGGCGAUGAAACAGACCUUCAACCUGGAGGAAUACAGCCUCUCUCAGGCUACCUUGGAGCAGUGACAGGAGGACCACUGCCACAGAAACCACCCUAAAGUCAGAAGCAGCGGUAAGAAGAUAGGCCUGAUGGAAGCAGAGCUGACAUGCAGUUGCUGACUUUCACAUGCUUCCAACAAGCAGAUUUUGCAGCAGAGCAAUAUGAAACAUUGAUUGGAUGAAUACAGAAGCAAAUGAAUCAGAAAAUUUAGCAGGAUUGUGUUAGAUUGGGCAAAAAAAAAAAAAAACAA
rnacentral:lncRNA from 1 species